GAUGAACGCUGGCGGCGUGCCUAAUACAUGCAAGUCGAGCGAACGGACGAGAAGCUUGCUUCUCUGAUGUUAGCGGCGGACGGGUGAGUAACACGUGGAUAACCUACCUAUAAGACUGGGAUAACUUCGGGAAACCGGAGCUAAUACCGGAUAAUAUUUUGAACCGCAUGGUUCAAAAGUGAAAGGCGGUCUUGCUGUCACUUAUAGAUGGAUCCGCGCUGCAUUAGCUAGUUGGUAAGGUAACGGCUUACCAAGGCAACGAUGCAUAGCCGACCUGAGAGGGUGAUCGGCCACACUGGAACUGAGACACGGUCCAGACUCCUACGGGAGGCAGCAGUAGGGAAUCUUCCGCAAUGGGCGAAAGCAUGACGGAGCAACGCCGCGUGAGUGAUGAAGGUCUUCGGAUCGUAAAACUCUGUUAUUAGGGAAGAACAUAUGUGUAAGUAACUGUGCACAUCUUGACGGUACCUAAUCAGAAAGCCACGGCUAACUACGUG
rnacentral:rRNA from 1 species